rnacentral:lncRNA from 1 species
CAGAAGCUUAGGGGGAACAACAGUAGAGUUUGAAAAAAGUGUUGGGGAGGGUCAAAAAAUGGGGGUUACUGAAUAGGAUGGUUGUUUUUUUCUUUCUUGCUGGAAUUCAGUUUAAUGGUGACAGUCAUUUUCUUUUUUCUUUUCUUUAAAUGUUUUUUUUUUUAAAGAGGGGAUAGAAACUGGAAGUUACUAGCUACUGAGGGCCCCAGCUUAGAAAAGCUGAUUCUCAUAUGGGUGAAAUGCAGAUAGAGAGUUCUGUUGGAAAUUUUAAGGCAUUUUCGCUAUGGGUGAUUUUGAAGAUCUUGGCCUAGCAAGAUGGCAGCGGGUUUUAAAAUGGGAUUCCCACGAAGUUAACACUUUUUCAGUGCAGAAGUAUGAGCUUCCCAAGAAGAGAUUCUUGUGGGUGACUGAUAGAAUCAGUUCUCUUCUCCUUGCUGACCUGCCACAGUGUCUGCCCUGAGCCUUCUGAUGUCUCCAUGGAGAAAUGGGUUGUUGAAGAAUUAAUUUGUAGUUGGAUGCAACACUUACAUUUUUUGGAUGAUCAGCCAUGCGGAAAAACAAAUGUACCUGAGAAGACUUUAAGAAAAGCACAUGUAUCUCCUGUUCCCACAAUAAAAAUGUGUGUACCAACUGUGUAACUAUUUGU